rnacentral:rRNA from 1 species
AACGAACGCUGGCGGCAGGCUUAACACAUGCAAGUCGAACGCACCGCAAGGUGAGUGGCAGACGGGUGAGUAACGCGUGGGAACGUGCCCUUCAGUUCGGAAUAACCCAGGGAAACUUGGGCUAAUACCGGAUACGUGCGAGAGCAGAAAGAUUUAUCGCUGAAGGAUCGGCCCGCGUCUGAUUAGCUGGUUGGUAGGGUAAUGGCCUACCAAGGCGACGAUCAGUAGCUGGUCUGAGAGGAUGAUCAGCCACACUGGGACUGAGACACGGCCCAGACUCCUACGGGAGGCAGCAGUGGGGAAUAUUGGACAAUGGGCGCAAGCCUGAUCCAGCCAUGCCGCGUGAGUGAUGACGGCCUUAGGGUUGUAAAGCUCUUUCGGCGGGGACGAUAAUGACGGUACCCGCAGAAGAAGCCCCGGCUAACUUCGUGCCAGCAGCCGCCGUAAGAC